GACUUAAAAUCCGUCGAUUUUUAAAAUCGUGAGGGUUCAAGUCCCUCUAUCCCCC
rnacentral:tRNA from 8 species